UACGUAGGGGGCUAGCGUUGCUCGGAAUUCCUGGGCGUAAAGCGCACGUAGGCGGCUCUUUAAGUCGGGGGUGAAAUCCCGAGGCUCAACCUCGGAACUGCCUUCGAUACUGGCGAUCUUGAGUCCGGGAGAGGUGAGUGGAACUGCGAGUGUAGAGGUGAAAUUCGUAGAUAUUCGCAAGAACACCAGUGGCGAAGGCGGCUCACUGGCCCGGUACUGACGCUGAGGUGCGAAAGCGUGGGGAGCAAACAGG
rnacentral:rRNA from 1 species